CUACUGUGUAAAUAUUUAUUGAAAUGGUUCUUUAAAUCAAUGAAUACCUGACAAAUUUCACGUUUGUGAUUUCUCUCUCUCUCUCUCUCUCUCUCUCUCUCUCUCUCUCUCUACUUAUAAUUAACAUUAUAAAAGGUAUGAAUUAAAAAGUACAUAGUGUCCUUUCAUUUUGGUAACCGUGCACAAGAAGGAAAUACAUUCCGGGAAUAAAAUAAUGCAUCGGAUUCCUUUUAAUUGUUAGACGUAUCUCAUAAAUAUUCAUGUUACCUCAGACUGAAACUGUUUGACCUGAUUUAUGCAAAUGAGAUAGGUCGUUAAAAAGUUGACGUAAGAUUUGGCCUUGGUCUAGUGUAUUUUCGUCAGCGGCUUACUUUUAUUUUCUGAACAUGGAAGCUUUUCUUAUCAAGUAUUUGGAGAAGGUGCCCUUGGUCUCUGCUCCUGGUUUGAAUGUCCAUUGUCGUAUUUGGGCGGGGGCUAGUUCUAAGCAGCAACAACAAGUAUGGUGUUGUGUACUACAAGGACAGCUGGAAGACGAUGCACGUACAUAGCAUAGACUCAAUGUCAUGUUACAUCAUCGUCACCAUGAUUUAGAUGCAAUUGUUGCAUCCCACUUGUGCCACAACACACUGUGUGUUGUGCCAGAGCAUAUUGCUAUGGAGCCACACGAUAUCAAUAACCAGUGAUAGACCUGCAAAUUCGGGGGCACCUGUCUGGGGCACCCCCUCCCUAUCAUAUCUGUCGCCUGGAGCUACAUAUGGAUAACAACAAUCUUGCAAGAUUACAACCGAAGUUCCACCAUUUGGAAACAAGUUCUCCAUCACAAACAAGGGAAUAUGUUGCACACAUUGAACAGUCUCCAGUAUAGCACAGAACAGUGCACUCAAGGACUUUAGGAGAUCCAGCUUAUCACUUCAAAGGGCCAUAACUCUGCUGUUGAGAGUACCAAUCCAAUGAAACUUCAUAGGGAUGUUCAGUAUGACUGCAGGAGUUUCUGUGCCGAGUUUCAUGAAAAUCAAACAAGGCCUGUAGAUAAAGGGAAAUACUGACCCCAGGAUCAUGAGCAUGUGGCCCAGGCUAUGCCGAACUUGUAUAUGGCCUACUUGCAUUGAACGAUUGGUGCUAGAUGUAAACGGUGUACACAGUCAGUGCCUAGAGAGUCUGAGACGUGUAGUGGGCUCAAUGUUUCUGUGACUUGUGACUGAGUGCCAACUUGUAUCAACCUAAUGUGUGGUUAUUUCAUCAAGGGUGGAUCUAGAUUUUCAAAGUUGCAGGCAGUGAGGCUCCCUGAGAGUGCCAGAGAUCAUACAUGCAUUAUGGCCCGUCAGUACUGAGACUCGCAAACUAGUGUGUAAGAGAAAGCAUCUGAUCCAACAAAGAGAUCGUGUGGACACUGGCAGAGUUGUCAUUUUGAAAUGGAUUAAGCUUGAUGAAUCCUACAACCUGUUUAUACAGUGUAGAUGCGAGCAAGAUUACCAGGCGACGGCCGGACUUUGACUUGCUGCCAGAAGGCCUAUGUCGGAGUAAAAUGAUCUACAUUUUACUCCGACAUAGGCCUUCUGGCAGCAUACUCGACAGCAAUAGGAUUGAGAUCGUCAAAAAAGGAUUGCCUAUACUGCUAAUUCAAGAAUUCUUACCAAAGCAGUUCAAAUGUGAUGAUGCCACACCCCUUAUCAACAGAAAAUGCCUGGACAUUGCCAGAAGCCCAAAAGAAAGAUUGAUUGAUUGAAUAUUGUUUAACGAUGGUCCCUCUCAAGAAUAUCACUCAUAUGGAGACGUCACCACUGCCGGUGAAGGGCUGCAAAAUUUAGGCCUAUGCUCGGUGCUUAUGGCUUUUGAGCAGGGAGGGAUCUUUAUCGUGCCACACCUGCUGUGACACAGAACCUCAGUUUUUGCGGUCUUAUCCGAAGGACCGCUCUAUUUAGUUGCCUUCUAUGACAAACAAGGGGUACUGAGGACCUAUUCUAACCUGGAUCCCCACAGGACUGAAAGAAAGAUAAUUAGUUAAUUUUUUGCCAGACCAAUAUUUGAACCUAGUCAAUAUUUCAGUUUAAAAUGUUGAUUCAUACUUACUAUAUAUAUUUCCUAUGACAUUGUUUUAUUUGAAUGUACAUGUUAUGUAACCUCUGAUGGAAUAAAUGAUGAAGAUUU